AAGUCUGGAAAACCUCCUGGGUCGCUUUUCGCCUUUUACGACCCUGGCAGUUUUGAAGACUAGAGUCAGGGCACAUUGGGCCUGGGUGCCUCUUCUGUGGCCUCAACUCAUGUUGUGCCCCUGUG